UAUAUACAAUUUAUUUCUGACCCCAUCAAAAAUUUGAUAUACAAAAUUUUGCUGUCGGCAACAAAAAUUUUCGAUUUGGCAUUUUAAAACGCAAGAUCGGUGCUCCGGUUUUCAAAUUCGUAAGGAUUUUUCGAUUUGUAAAACGGACACUUUUGUCUGGCCGAAAUGAAAAGUAUAUGCCCAUUUUUAUAUCACGUAAGAUAUUAUUUAC
ensembl:ncRNA lncRNA:CR45201 long non-coding RNA:CR45201